rnacentral:rRNA from 1 species
UGUGCCCAGAUGGGAUUAGCUAGUAGGUGGGGUAACGGCUCACCUAGGCGACGAUCCCUAGCUGGUCUGAGAGAUGACCAGCCACACUGGAACUGAGACACGGUCCAGACUCCUACGGGAGGCAGCAUG